rnacentral:rRNA from 1 species
UAAUAGCGUAUACUUAAGUUGUUGCAGUUAAAAAGCUCGUAGUCGGAUGUCGGGCUUGGGCAGGCUGUCGGCUUUUGUCGAACGGCAGGCUCGGGCCUUUCUGCCUGGGGACCGCGUCACACUUCACUGUGGGGCGUCGGGACGCAGGCCGUUUACUUUGAAAAAAAUUAGAGUGUUCAAAGCAGGCCUACGCUUGAAUACAUUAGCAUGGAAUAAUGGAAUAGGACUUUGGUGCCAUUCUGUUGGUUUAUGGAACCGAAGUAAUGAUUAAUAGGGACAGUUGGGGCCGUUUAUAUUUCGUUGUCAGAGGUGAAAUUCUUGGAUUUACGAAAGAUAAACUUCUGCGAAAGCAUUCGGCAAGGAUGUUUUCAUUGA